rnacentral:rRNA from 1 species
UACGUAGGGUGCGAGCGUUGUCCGGAAUUAUUGGGCGUAAAGAGCUUGUAGGCGGUCUGUCGCGUCUGCUGUGAAAAUCCGGGGCUCAACCCCGGACUUGCAGUGGGUACGGGCAGACUAGAGUGUGGUAGGGGAGACUGGAAUUCCUGGUGUAGCGGUGAAAUGCGCAGAUAUCAGGAGGAACACCGGUGGCGAAGGCGGCAUCCUGGACCAACACUGACACUGAGGAGCGAAAGCCAGGGGAGCAAACGGG